GAAAUGCGAUAAGUAAUGUGAAUUGCAGAAUUCCGUGAAUCAUCGAAUCUUUGAACGCACAUUGCGCCCCCUGGUAUUCCGGAGGGCAUGCCUGUUCGAGCGUCAUUUGUACCCUCAAGCUUUGCUUGGUGUUGGGCGUCUUGUCUCUAGCUUUGCUGGAGACUCGCCUUAAAGUAAUUGGCAGCCGGCCUACUGGUUUCGGAGCGCAGCACAAGUCGCACUCUCUAUCAGCAAAGGUCUAGCAUCCAUUAAGCCUUUUUUCAACUUUUGACCUCGGAUCAGGUAGGGAUACCCGCUGAACUUAAGC
rnacentral:misc_RNA from 1 species